UUCUAAACAUAUAGUUUAUCGUUAUUAUACUAUUAUCUCAUUAAUAGGCAUGUUCUUUAUCUAUUAACAGAAUCAACAAAAUCCGACAGAAGUUCUAUAAAGAUGGGAAAACAUAAAAGUCUGUGGAAGAGGUUAUGGAUGAGCGAAGACUGACGGAAAAGAUGGCAGUAUUUGUUCUCA